GAUGAACGCUGGCGGCGUGCCUAAUACAUGCAAGUCGAGCGAACAGACGAGGAGCUUGCUCCUCUGACGUUAGCGGCGGACGGGUGAGUAACACGUGGAUAACCUACCUAUAAGACUGGGAUAACUUCGGGAAACCGGAGCUAAUACCGGAUAAUAUAUUGAACCGCAUGGUUCAAUAGUGAAAGACGGUUUUGCUGUCACUUAUAGAUGGAUCCGCGCCGCAUUAGCUAGUUGGUAAGGUAACGGCUUACCAAGGCAACGAUGCGUAGCCGACCUGAGAGGGUUAUCGGCCACCGCGGAACUGAGACACGGUCCAGACUCCUACGGGUGGCAGCAGUAGAGAAUCUUCCGCAAUGAGCGAAAGCUUGACGGAGAAACGCCGCGCGAGUGAUGUAGGUCUUCGGAUCGUAAAACUCUGUUAUUAGGGAAGAACAAAUGUGUAAGUAAGUAUGCACGUCUUGACGGUACCUAAUCAGAAAGCCACGGCUAACUACGUG
rnacentral:rRNA from 1 species